rnacentral:tRNA from 1 species
GCUAACUUAGCUCAGUUGGUAGAGCAGCUGACUUGUAAUCAGCAGGUCGUCGGUUCGACUCCGACAGUUAGCU